rnacentral:rRNA from 1 species
GACGAACGCUGGCGGCGUGCCUGACACAUGCAAGUCGGACGGUUCUUGCACCUUCAAGCUUGCUUGUUGGUUCAAGGAUAGUGGCGGACGGGUGAGUAACGCGUGAACACCUACCCAUUGGAGGGGUACAACCCGUCGAAAGGCGGGCUAAUACCGCGUAAGCCGUGAGGUGAAAGGCUGCUCUUUGGUGGCUGCCGAUGGAUGGGUUCGCGUCCUAUCAGCUGGUUGGUGGGUAACGGCCUACCAAGGCUAAGACGGGUAGCCGGUCUGAGAGGAUGGCCGGCCACACUGGAACUGAGACACGGUCCAGACUCCUACGGGAGGCAGCAGUGGGGAAUCUUGGGCAAUGGGGGAGACCCUGACCCAGCGACGCCGCGUGAGGGAUGAAGGUUUUCGGAUCGUAAACCUCUGUUGUACGGGAAGAAGGAUGUGACGGUACCGUACGAGUAAGCCCCGGCAAACUACGUG